UAGGGAAUCUUCCACAAUGGACGCAAGUCUGAUGGAGCAACGCCGCGUGAGUGAAUAAGGUUUUCGGAUCGUAAAGCUCUGUUGUUGGUGAAGAAGGAUAGAGGCAGUAACUGGUCUUUAUUUGACGGUAAUCAACCAGAAAGUCACGGCUAACUACGUGCCAGCAGCCGCGGUAAUACGUAGGUGGCAAGCGUUGUCCGGACUUAUUGGGCGUAAAGCGAGCGCAGGCGGAAUGAUAGGUCUGAUGUGAAAGCCCACGGCUCAGCCGUGGAACUGCAUCGGAAACUGUCAUUCUUGAGUGCAGAAGAGGAGAGUGGAAUUCCAUGUGUAGCGGUGGAAUGCGGAGAUAUAUGGAAGAACACCAGUGGCGAAGGCGGCUCUCUGGUCUGCAACUGACGCUGAGGCUCGAAAGAAUGGGUAGCGAACAGG
rnacentral:rRNA from 1 species